AGGAGGAGGAGGAGGAGGAGGAAUUGAAGUUGCAAGAGAAUGAUGUGGUGGGAAAGGCUUUGCAGAAAUGCGCCAAAAUAUCGGCGGAGCUGAAAAGAGAGCUCUACGGCUCUGCAGUCACUUCGUGUGAGCGGUACGCCGAGGUGGAAGCUUCUUCAGUGAGGAUUGUGACUCAGGUAGUGAAGAUGACUGAAAGUGUGUUUGUGCAUGUGUGGUUACGAGCCUACACAUGCAUGCCUGUGUAAGUGGGCAUGUAGAUGCAUGCACGUGCACAUGCUGGCUAUGCUUGUCCUAUGAUCCCAUAUGAGUGAUAUUGCUGCAGCAUGUGCAGUGGUGGAUUCAGAUUUUCAGCCUGUACUCAAGCCAUAUCAGCUGGUUGGUGUGAACUUUCUUCUUUUGCUGUAUAGAAAGGGCAUUGGAGGAGCCAUAUUGGCAGAUGAGAUGGGGCUUGGGAAGACCAUUCAGGCAAUUACAUAUUUAAUGUUGUUGAAACACUUGAACAAUGACCCCGGUCCACAUUUAAUUGUAUGUCCUGCCUCUUUAUUGGAAAAUUGGGAAAGAGAGCUUAAAAAGUGGUGUCCAUCAUUUUCUGUGCUCCAGUAUCAUGGGGCUACACGAGCUGCCUACUCAAAAGAGUUGAGCUCUUUGGCCAAAGCUGGGUUGCCACCUCCAUUUCAUGUGCUUCUUGUUUGUUACUCACUCUUUGAACGACACAGUGUCCAGCAGAAAGAUGACCGUAAAAUUCUGAAACGGUGGCAAUGGAGCUGUGUCCUUAUGGAUGAAGCACAUGCUUUGAAGGAUAAGAACAGCUAUAGGUGGAAAAACCUGAUGUCAGUUGCAAGAAAUGCAAACCAGCGUCUGAUGCUAACAGGGACACCCCUACAGAAUGAUUUGCAUGAAUUGUGGUCCUUGUUGGAGUUUAUGAUGCCUGAACUUUUUGCUACUGAGGAUGUAGAUUUGAAAAAGCUACUAAACGCAGAAGAUAGGGAUUUAAUUGGUCGAAUGAAGUCCAUCUUGGGACCAUUCAUAUUGAGGCGUUUAAAGUCUGAUGUAAUGCAACAACUUGUUCCAAAGAUACAGCGGGUUAAAUAUGUUUUCAUGGAAAAGCAUCAGGAAGAUGCUUACAAAGAAGCCAUAGAGGAAUAUCGUGCAGCUUCACGUGCUCGUAUUGCAAAGCUUUCGGAUGUUGACGUGAAUGCUAUUUUUGGAAUUCUUCCUCGGCGGCAGAUCUCAAAUUACUUUGUUCAGUUUCGCAAGAUAGCAAAUCAUCCAUUAUUAGUGAGGCGAAUUUACUUCGAUGAGGAUGUUGUUCGUUUUGCUAAGAAGUUGCAUCCAAUUGGUGCUUUUGGCUUUGAAUGUACCUUGGAAAGAGUUAUUGAAGAACUCAAGACCUAUAGUGACUUUUCAAUUCACCAGCUCUGAUAGGAUGUAUGUCCCAGAAACCUCUAUUUCAGUUCACAUGAAAGAGAUGUCGCAAGUUAGCUGUUUCUACGCAUGGAUUGACCUGUAGCAGCACCGGUGCACUAGAGCAUAAAGGGUAGAUGGUGUAGCCAGGGUAGUUGGGAGGGGAUUCCAGACCUGAGGGCUGCUAUCAUAUAUGGUUUUGAUAAAGAAGCACUAUCCUUUCUCAAAGCUUGGAUUCAUUACCACAAAUGGUUGAGAGUCUUAAUAAUAACUCAAGUGGAUGCUGAAUGCCUGAACUUUUAAGUUCUUUACUUAUUGGGCAUUAAAAAAAAGAAAAAGAGAUGAAAUCCUUUUGUUAGAAAAAUAUUUAUUAUAUUAUUUUGCAGAAAAAUGAAAUUACAACUGUUUCCUCUGUAAAUACAUUAAAUAGCCAACCAAGGUGACAACCAAAGUGAAGGAUUUCCUAUAUAUUCAAGUUUUUUGAUACUAACAUCUGCUGGAUCAUACCUUGCUCUGUAGCUUAUGUUAGUAUAAAAUGAUUAUCACAUAGCAAUUACUUAAUUAAUUACUUUUCUCAUUAGAAGUUGGUUUUCAGCAUAAAGUGUACAUCAAUUAAGAUUAUGUGUGAUCAAGUUAUGGUUAGUUUCCACAAGUAAUGUGGAAGAAGUAAAAAUAAUACAGUUAGUAUAUAGGGCUAGCCAUGCUAUUCAUCAGUGGCUGCUUCUUGAUAUCAAAUGUUAUCCUCUGGGCUGGGACCAUAAUUCAUUUUGUAAUGAAUGAGAAAUGAAUUAUCUAAGUUCACCUUAAUAAUCAAUUCAUGCAUAUUUUAUGUAAUUAUUACUACAUGGUAAUGAUGCCAGUGCUAUUUAGCAUGACCUGACCAUGAGAGGAUGAUUGAUGAAAAGAGAACAAAUGUUUUUCUAUUUUUAUACUAUGUAAUACUAAAUCUUGAAAGUCAAUUCCAACUAUCCGACCUAACUGUGGAGUUUUUGCUUUGGAGUUUGGUCCCCAGCUGCUGCUUAACAAUUAUAGUGUUGCAAACCCACAGUAGUUAAUUACUAGUUGAGUCGUGUUUCGUAUGUAGUCCUAACCUUUUAUCAUUUUUACGUGAAAUGGUUGCUCUCUGGAAUCUCGUUGCAUGCAUCCGUCAUCAAUAUUCUAUGAGCAAUCAGCAAUCAAUUUUCAAUGGAGAUUUGUACUUUAAAAUUUAACUUUAAACCUAUUUUCAACACCCUCUAACUAAUAUAUUAAUGAGUUUUUUUUCUCAAUCAAUAGCUCCUACAAGUCAACAACGAUGCCAAAUUAAUACAUUUAUCGUACAGACAAGAGGUUGUUGUUACUUGUUAGAGUUUGUACCUAGGUUUCUCACAAUCUUACUUUGGUAACUAAAAGCAAUUUUUUUUUUGGAAGGAGCUUACAAUUUUUAAAAUAAAGAUGAGUACAAGUGUCUGGACUAUGAAUGAGGUCUUCAGUUGGUUGUAGUUCCAUUUUUACUGAAGCAAGUGGUUGGAUAAUUUAGAAUGUUAAUUUUCUAUGGUAUUACUUGGUAAUAACCAUAAAUUGCUUUGUUCAUUUAUGAAUUUCCAUGGUAUCUUUUUGAUCUGCAGAAUUGUUUGUCUAAUUUUGAAUUUGACAUAUUUUUCAAAUUCCAACAACUUCUUGCAGCUUUUAUAUAAUUAUGGUGUUAAAGAUACUAAAGGAAUCCUUUCAGAUAAGCAUGUCAUGCUUUCAGCAAAAUGUCGGGCGCUAGCUGAACUUCUUCCUGCACUCAGGAGAGAUGGGCAUAGAGUUUUAAUUUUUAGCCAGUGGACUUCAGUGUUAGACAUCUUAGAAUGGACUUUGGAUGUAAUUGGGUUGACAUACAAAAGACUUGAUGGGAGUACCCAGGUGACAGAGAGACAGACCAUAGUUGAUGCUUUCAACAAUAACACUUCUAUAUUUGCAUGCUUGCUAUCGACUAGAGCUGGAGGGCAGGGUUUGAAUUUGACUGGAGCUGAUACUGUUGUUAUCCAUGAUAUGGAUUUCAACCCACAAAUUGAUUGACGGGCAGAAGAUCAAUGUCAUUGCAUUGGCCAAACAAAGCCUGUCACCAUAUACAGGUGCGUCAUCACUCGUCCUGUAUGUGGAAAAAGAGCACGAGAAAAUGAAGAUAAAGGGUACAGUUGAUGAGAAUGUCUAUGUGAUUUGCAAAGCAAAAGCUUAUUUUGGAUGCUGCUUUUAGUCUGGGUGGAGGCGAAUAAUGAGGGUAACGCAUCAGAGAAGAUAACGAGACAGAUACUAUUAUCACUUUUGAUGGGCUAAGAACGUCAACUGCAUCUGAUAGAAACUCAUCAGACAUCUUUUUCCUUUUCAUUUUGUCCUUCCCUUUAUUUGUGUAAUAUCCAUUUUUGUAUUAGUUAGGUCAUAGGUGUGGUAUAGGGGAAGAAAGGGACAGAGGGGAAGGGGGGAAAGAAAGAAAGAAAUGAGAAGGGAAGAUAGAAAAUCAUUUAGGACUGAUAGUGCUUUACCACAAGUGUGUAAUGGCCCUUAAAUUCAUACUGUGGUGAAGGUUAAAUGUCAAUAUGACUUGUUUCAAUCAAAGAUAAGUUUGUAAAGGUAUUAGGAUGACAUUCUUGGGGCCAUGGGACCAAGCUGCCUCAUCCGACACUAUUUGAGCACUUCAUAAUUGUAUCCGUGCUGAAAUUUGCCAGGCAUCGAAGUGCUUCCUCUUCACUCUGUUCAGAAACAAGCUGAAUUUUAGAAGCACAAAUUUUGCUUAUUAGAGAUGAAAUGAGAAGAAAGUUAAAUUAAGUGUGUACAAUCUCAGGAAGGCACAGAGAAAAAGCUAAUUAGUUGGUAAGCGAAGAUAAGGAAUCUCUUCAAACGUUAUACUCGUGAAAUCCUUCCCUUUUAUCUUCCUGUAGGGUGGUAAAACUACGAAGCUUACCUCACUUUGUUACUAUUCCUUUGCUUGUAAUAAAAUUAAACUCCUCCUUUCCUUUUUCUUCAAAGGUACAGUAGUGUUUUUGCUCCUGUUGGUUGUCGUAGAGUGUCUGUACUUUUAGCUUCUAUCCAUAAGAGAAUU
rnacentral:misc_RNA from 1 species